rnacentral:rRNA from 1 species
GACGAACGCUGGCGGCGUGCUUAACACAUGCAAGUCGAACGGAAAGGCCCUGCUUUUGUGGGGUGCUCGAGUGGCGAACGGGUGAGUAACACGUGAGUAACCUGCCCUUGACUUUGGGAUAACUUCAGGAAACUGGGGCUAAUACCGGAUAGGAGCUCCUGCUGCAUGGUGGGGGUUGGAAAGUUUCGGCGGUUGGGGAUGGACUCGCGGCUUAUCAGCUUGUUGGUGGGGUAGUGGCUUACCAAGGCUUUGACGGGUAGCCGGCCUGAGAGGGUGACCGGCCACAUUGGGACUGAGAUACGGCCCAGACGCCUACGGGAGGCAGCAGUGGAGAAUAUUGCACAAUGAGCGGAAGCCUGAUGCAGCGACGCCGCGUGCGUGAUGACGGCCUUCGAGUUGUAAACCGCUUUCGCCUGUGACGAGGCGUGAGUGACGGUAAUGGGUAAAGAAGCACCGGCUAACUACGUG